AGAGUUUGAUCCUGGCUCAGGAUGAACGCUGGCGGCGUGCCUAACACAUGCAAGUCGAGCGAGAAACUUUGGAUAGAUCCUUCGGGUGAAAGAAAAAGUGGACAGCGGCGGACGGGUGAGUAACGCGUGGGAAACCUGCCCUAUACAACGGGAUAGCCUCGGGAAACCGGGAUUAAUACCGUAUAAAACUCUAGCAUCGCAUGGUGCAUGAGUCAAAACUCCGGUGGUAUAGGAUGGUCCCGCGUCCCAUUAGCUAGUUGGUAAGGUAAAAGCUUACCAAGGCGACGAUGGGUAGCCGGCCUGAGAGGGUGAACGGCCACACUGGAACUGAGACACGGUCCAGACUCCUACGGGAGGCAGCAGUGGGGAAUAUUGCACAAUGGAGGGAACUCUGAUGCAGCGACGCCGUGUGAGUGAUGAAGGUUUUCGGAUCGUAAAACUCUGUCCUAAGGGAAGAUAAUGACGGUACCUUAGGAGGAAGCCCCGGCUAACUACGUGCCAGCAGCCGCGGUAAUACGUAGGGGGCGAGCGUUAUCCGGAAUUACUGGGCGUAAUGGGUACGCAGGCGGCCAAAUAAGUCAGGUGUGAAAGGUAUCGGCUCAACCGGUGCAAGCACUUGAAACUGUAUGGCUUGAGUACAGGAGAGGAAAGUGGAAUUCCUAGUGUAGCGGUGAAAUGCGUAGAUAUUAGGAGGAACACCAGUGGCGAAGGCGACUUUCUGGACUGAUACUGACGCUGAGGUACGAAAGCGUGGGGAGCAAACAGGAUUAGAUACCCUGGUAGUCCACGCUGUAAACGAUGAGUGCUAGGUGUUGGGGGUCGAACCUCAGUGCCGUAGCUAACGCAUUAAGCACUCCGCCUGGGGAGUACGGUCGCAAGACUGAAACUCAAAGGAAUUGACGG
rnacentral:rRNA from 1 species